GGCUGAUUAGCUCAGAUGGCAGAGCGCUGGAAUCAAAAUCCAGAGGUCGCUGGUUCAAAUCCUGCAUCAGCCA